rnacentral:rRNA from 1 species
UACGUAGGUGACAAGCGUUGUCCGGAUUUACUGGGCGUAAAGGGCGCGUAGGCGGGAUGGCAAGUCGGUCGUGAAAUCCCUCGGCUCAACCGAGGAACGUCGAUCGAUACUGCUGUUCUUGAGGAUUGCAGAGGAGACUGGAAUUCCCGGUGUAGCGGUGAAAUGUGUAGAGAUCGGGAGGAGCACCGGUGGCGAAGGCGGGUCUCUGGGCAAUUCCUGACGCUGAGGCGCGAAAGCGUGGGGAGCAAACGGG